GUGGGGAAUCUUCCGCAAUGGACGAAAGUCUGACGGAGCAACGCCGCGUGAGUGAAGAAGGUUUUCGGAUCGUAAAGCUCUUUCGUUAGGGACGAACGUGCUCUUUGUGAAUAAUGAGGAGUAAUGACGGUACCUAAAUAAGAAGCCACGGCUAACUACGUGCCAGCAGCCGCGGUAAUACGUAGGUGGCAAGCGUUGUCCGGAAUUAUUGGGCGUAAAGCGCGCGCAGGCGGGAUAUCAAGUCUGUCUUAAAAGUGCGAGGCUCAACCUCGUGAGGGGACAGAAACUGGUAUUCUUGAGUGUCGGAGAGGAAAGUGGAAUUCCAAGUGUAGCGGUGAAAUGCGUAGAGAUUUGGAAGAACACCAGUGGCGAAGGCGACACACUGGCUCAUUACUGACGCUGAGGCGCGAAAGCGUGGGGAGCAAACAGGAUUAGAUACCCCUGUAGUCC
rnacentral:rRNA from 1 species